rnacentral:tRNA from 1 species
GGGGCAGUGGUGGAAUGGUAGACACAUGGGACUUAAAAUCCCAAGGUUAAUAGCCGUGCGGGUUCGAUCCCCGCCUGCCCCA